UCUUUAGAUAAAAAAGUUCAUUUCCUCCAAUAUUUCUCUCUCUAAACUCAAGGAAGAAGAAGAAGUCAUGGAAGCUUGGAUUUGGGGAUUUCAACAGAGUAUCUUCAUCAAUUUUCUUCAAGGUUUCAGCAAGAGAGAGAGUUCUCUAUAUUCAAGGGCUUGGGAAGAGUUCUCCAAUACCAAGUGUAGUUCCUCAUGAUUUAGGGACAAGUAUUUAGAUGUUUCUUGUAUUUAAUUUAUAAUAGGUUAUGUCUAGUUUUUGUAAGUCUUUCAAUUGUGAAGGGUCGUGACCCUAUCUUUAGGUUCCAUGUCUUUGUUAGAUUGCUAUAUGAUAUGUUGGCUUCCAUUAUGAUUUUAAAUGUCGUGUUCUUAAAGUAAAGGGUUUUUAAAUAAAACUUUUAAUUCCUUGUCGUUUUUCCUCGUGA